rnacentral:rRNA from 1 species
GAGAGUGGCGAACGGGUGCGUAACGCGUAUGCAACCUACCUUCAUCAGGGGGAUAGCCCGGAGAAAUUCGGAUUAACACCGCAUAAAAACACAGUACGGCAUCGUACAAUGUUCAAAUAUUAAUAGGAUGAAGAUGGGCAUGCGUGUCAUUAGCUAGUUGGUAAGGUAACGGCUUACCAAGGCGACGAUGACUAGGGGAUCUGAGAGGAUGACCCCCCACACUGGUACUGAGACACGGACCAGACUCCUACGGGAGGCAGCAGUAAGGAAUAUUGGUCAAUGGAGGCAACUCUGAACCAGCCAUGCCGCGUGCAGGAAGACUGCCCUAUGGGUUGUAAACUGCUUUUAUACGGGAAUAAACCUAUCUACGAGUAUAUAGCUGAAUGUACUGUAAGAAUAAGGAUCGGCUAACUCCGUGCCAGCAGCCGCGGUAAUACGGAGGAUCCAAGCGUUAUCCGGAUUUAUUGGGUUUAAAGGGAGCGUAGGCGGCCGUUUAAGUCAGAGGUGAAAACUUGCAGCUCAACUGUAAGCUUGCCUUUGAUACUGAAUGGCUUGAAUGAACUUGAGGUAGGCGGAAUGUGACAAGUAGCGGUGAAAUGCAUAGAUAUGUCACAGAACACCAAUUGCGAAGGCAGCUUACUAAGGUUUAAUUGACGCUGAGGCUCGAAAGCGUGGGGAUCAAACAGGAUUAGAUACCCUGGUAGUCCACGCCCUAAACGAUGAUAACUCGAUGUUGGCGAUAUACAGUCAGCGUCCAAGCGAAAGCGUUAAGUUAUCCACC